rnacentral:rRNA from 1 species
AUUGAACGCUGGCGGCAGGCCUAACACAUGCAAGUCGAACGAGUGGCGGACGGGUGAGUAAUGUCUGGGAAACUGCCUGAUGGAGGGGGAUAACUACUGGAAACGGUAGCUAAUACCGCAUACCAUCGGAUGUGCCCAUAUGGGAUUAGCUAGUAGGUGGGGUAAAGGGUCACGGAGGCGACGAUCCCUAGCUGGUCUGAGAGGAUGACAAGCCACACUGGAACGGAGGCACGGGCCAGCCGCCGACGAGAUGCAGCAGUGGGGAAUAGUGCAAAAUGGGCGCAAGCCUGAUACAGCCAUGCCGCGUGUAUGAAGAAGGCCUGCGGGUUGUAAGGUACUUUCAGCGUGGAGGCGUUACCCGCAGAAGAAGCACCGGCUAACUCCGUGCCAGCCGCCGCGGUAAUUC